rnacentral:lncRNA from 1 species
AAUCAUGAAGAUUAAAGUACCAGGACAAAAGAACAUAUUACAAUACACAUAUAGCAAUUUCCCAAAGGAGUUCGUUCACCAAUUAGAGGAUAAUCACCUGUUAGCGAAGUACAGAGGUGAUUAAAUUAAGAUACGUGGGUCGGUGGGUGGAUUCAUAUUCCAAACCCUCCACCCACAUCCCUUUGUUUCGAUGAACUAAAAAUUAAAUAAAUUUGCAAUACACAAAAUUAGGUGGAGAAAUAUGUUGCGUUGCAAAAAUGAACUGCCCGCCCCUAACUCAAGGCCUUAUUUAACCCUAAUUUGCAAACAAUAGCUUCAGAUGUGCACACACUAGAUAUUUUCACGGUGCUCGGAGAACCUUGUACCAAAAGGUAAUGACAAAUAAAAAUUAAACCAGGCACUAUUAACUAUAAGAGCUGACGAGUCUUAAUGAUAACAAAUUAUAAUUGAGCAGCUUUGCUAAAGUUGAAAUCAAUUCGAACCGAAAAAUUUUAACCCUCUCCCAAUGA